CUGGAAGAUCUCUCUUUCUCUGGGAAAAAGAGGGCUGCUGUGAGCCUUAUUUCACUGUGAUCAAGUUAUUUCUGCUGGACAAUAUGAAAAACAAAUCAGGGAGUCUUAGAUGCCAUAUUUUGAAGAAAAUGAAUCUGGUUUCAGUGCAGCUGGAUGUGGAAAGAAGUACUGAACUAACUGACUGCAUGGAUUUGCAACCAGCAGCUCAGCAGCUGCUUCAUGAACCAUCCUUGCAGGAGGGGAACAUSAGAAAGAUGGAUUCCUUGAACAAGGAAGAUAUGGCAGGUUGUGAUAUUGGACUGCAGUGAAGUUCCACCUGUGCUAUUCUACCCCUCAUGAGCAAGCAGUGCUGGGCUAUGCAGCUGGCAUGAGCGUGCCCUUUUUGGGGAGAGAAGAUAAGUUUGUGUACUCACCUUCUAUUUGGAAAAAUAUUGUGAUGUGAAGUCUUUCUUCUUCCAGAGGCUUGAGCCACUUGCUUUUGAUCUGUGAGCUCACAGUACAGAAGUAGACUGAAUGAAGCCUCUGUCAAGAAUCCUGCUAAAAUUCUCAGUUAACGUAGCCAAGAACCAGCACAUCAGGAGUAUAGCCWUCUAUCAAGAAUAGUGUGGAGAUACACCUUGCUCACAGAAGCUCUGGAAACAUUGUGAACUCAGACCCAGUGCAUCCUCAGACGACAGGGAUGUUGCUGCUCUCUGAGUACUGCACACUGUUUUAAUGAUUGAUGGAAAUAAUGGGCAAUUUUGGGAACUUAGUAGUAUGUAUGGGAGACAGACACAGGAGCUCUAAUAGAGUGGCUGAUUUUGUGGGGCAAGGUAUAGCUUCUGUUCUCUUUUGCACCUGCAAACCUGGUGUAAUAUUAAUUAGAUUGUUAUUAGGUUUCAUUAGUGAAGCUCCAUAAAACAAAAAAGGAAAUGUUCUGGUGAUACUAAAACUUGGUAUGUUAUUUAUACAAAGCAGGUGAGCAGUGUUCAGUAGUCGUGAAACACUGCUUUUCCAGAAAUAMGAAAUGUUUAGGUAAAAUGGCUAGGUAAAAUCUAAUGGGGAUUUGAUUACUAGCUGGUAAAAUGGUGCCUCUUCCCUUCUAAAUAGGUUUGAUCCUCYCUUCAAUGCAAGCCCUGCACCUUCACCUACAUUCCUUCCCAGGCAGCUGCAGUGGAUCUGCUCACCAAGGGAAUUUGGCCCACUGGAUUCCUUUUCUUUCUGUGCAGUUGAAUGAAAAGUGUGUGUCCUUUGAAGAACAGCAACUGAAAGAAAUAUUGAUGACUGCCAGGGCAUCAACAGAAAAGGAUAAGAAAAUUACUACAACAGCAAAGACAAAGGGACUUUGUUAACUCUUUCUUGUAGGUUGUAUAUAUUAAUAGUAACAAGUAAAGUUUUGUAUUUUUUUCAGAGAAACACACAAGGCCUUGAAUUGUAUUGUUUUAAUUGCAGCUAACUGAAUGAAUUAAGUGGAAAAUCACAAACAGUACUUUGAUUGUCUAACUCUGUAUGUGAGGCUUUGGGAACAGUUUGUUAUUAUAAAAGAACAGCACUAACAAGAAAUCAGCCAACAUGUAAUUGCUGGGUUGAGGGGCAGUUUGGGGAAAGCUGAUACUUAUUUAUAAAUUAUUAAAUAAAAGCACAUAAUAUGUGGAUCAUCUCUCACUGCCUCCACACUUCAUACAUUACUCAUCUUCCUAAAUUUCAUGUUUUUUUACUCCCUUAGUACAUUGCUGCUUAUAACCAGUGCAGGCAUCAAAAACACCCACAUCCAGGAAAGGAGAUGCCUGUGUGUUUGUUAUGAUGGCAGUUCUGGUUACGGGACUCAUCUAAGAUUAAGAACCUUCASUUCAAGGGAAGGAGUCUAGUCAAGACUUUUAAAGGUUGUUUUCCCUACGUAAAAUACACCUSAGCACCUGGGACUGUUCAGAUGGCUGAAACUCUCACAGCUGUUUCUGCUUGACUGGCAAGGUCUGUUUCAGAGGACACAGAUGCAGUUCCUCAUGUGCCACUUUAGAAGGGUUGGGUAAUGUCUGGCCUCACCAGUGAGAUGUGUGUUACAGACCAAGAGCCCCUGGUGAUCUGCAGCAGAGGGUCUGGGGAUGGAAAGCUGUGCCAGCACCUGGAUAGUUGGCCCUGCUGGACACAUCUUUGGACUGGCUGAGCUUCUGCAUACAAUGACAUUUGUGCUGUACAAACAAACCACACUAUUAAACCAUUUUAACACUGUCUAUGCAACUUUAAAAUGGUAGAGGCUUGAUUUUUACUUCAUCUGCAGGCUUUUGAAAACUUACAUGUCCAUGCUGAAGUGGUAUGAAGAUUAAAUUGCCAAUCCUAGCUCCCAGCCUAGACUGUUGCGCAGAAGGUGCCUGAGAGGUGGACCUGGGCAGAGUUCAGCUUUAUACAGCUCUUGCCAAGAGUUAUUUGGUAUCCCUGUCACUGUUUAUUGAGGUAAAAAAAUAUUUUCCCCCUAAUAAGCUGUUUUUCUUUGAGAGAACACAGCUGCAUUUAUGACAGGUCUUGGCUUCUACGGUAAGUUUGGUUUGUAUAGUUUCCUCUCUCUAUGUAUGUUGUCAGCGUAAGUACCAACAGUCAUAAUGUAAAACACAGUUUUGUUACAGGAGCUUUUAACAGUGGUUUUCAGUAAUUUAGAAAACAUCGGAGCUAUUUCCAAAAAAUGAAAAA